rnacentral:rRNA from 1 species
AGUGAACGCUGGCGGUAGGCCUAACACAUGCAAGUCGAACGGCAGCACAGUAAGAGCUUGCUCUUACGGGUGGCGAGUGGCGGACGGGGGAGGAAUACAUCGGAAUCUACUUUUUCGUGGGGGAUAACGUAGGGAAACUUACGCUAAUACCGCAUACGACCUACGGGUGAAAGCAGGGGAUCUUCGGACCUUUCGCGAUUGAAUGAGCCGAUGUCGGAUUAGCUAGUUGGCGGGGUAGAGGCCCACCAAGGCGACGAUCCGUAGCUGGUCUGAGAGGAUGGUUCGCCACCCUGGAACUGAGACACGGCCCAGACUCCUACGGGAGGCAGCAGUGGGGAAUAUUGGACAAUGGACGAAAGCCUAAUCCAGCCAUACCGCGUGAGUGAAGAAGGACUUCGGGUUGUAAAGCCCUUUUGUUGGGAAAGAAAAACAGCAGGUUAAUACCCCGCUGUUCUGACGGUACCCAAAGAAUAAGCUCCGGCUAACUUCGUG